rfam:Nomascus leucogenys chromosome 6, whole genome shotgun sequence.
CCUCCUUUUCUUGUCAGACUGAGUGUGUGGUCCUGCUCCUGUUAUGUAUGGAGGCAGAGGGAAAGGGCUUCGGCCCCCUCAAAAUCAUGUCUUUGGUGCCAGACGGUUCUGUUCUCAGUGGCCUGGAU